rnacentral:rRNA from 1 species
UUCCGUAGGGUGUGCCUGCGGAGGGAUCAUUACCGAGUUUACAACUCCCAAACCCCUGUGAACAUACCAAUUGUUGCCUCGGCGGAUCAGCCCGCUCCCGGUAAAACGGGACGGCCCGCCAGAGGACCCCUAAACUCUGUUUCUAUAUGUAACUUCUGAGUAAAACCAUAAAUAAAUCAAAACUUUCAACAACGGAUCUCUUGGUUCUGGCAUCGAUGAAGAACGCAGCAAAAUGCGAUAAGUAAUGUGAAUUGCAGAAUUCAGUGAAUCAUCGAAUCUUUGAACGCACAUUGCGCCCGCCAGUAUUCUGGCGGGCAUGCCUGUUCGAGCGUCAUUUCAACCCUCAAGCCCAGCUUGGUGUUGGGACUCGCGAGUCAAAUCGCGUUCCCCAAAUUGAUUGGCGGUCACGUCGAGCUUCCAUAGCGUAGUAGUAAAACCCUCGUUACUGGUAAUCGUCGCGGCCACGCCGUUAAACCCCAACUUCUGAAUGUUGACCUCGGAUCAGGUAGGAAUACCCGCUGAACUUAAGCAUAUCAAA